rnacentral:misc_RNA from 1 species
AUGAUGCAAAAUUCACAAAAGCAGGAGUUUGAGUUCUCACAACUUGUAUGUGUCUCUAUAUAUCUCUAUAUGUACAUAAUUAAAUUUCUAUUGCUAGCAAAAACUAACAAUUUUCAUCAAAAAAAUUUUUCUAAAGUAUUCCAAAAGAGAAUAUUUUACUCUCACAGCAUACAGAAGCAACAAUGGAGGUUAAAAGAGUGGAACAAAAAAUGUUUACAUACUGCCCCUUUAACCAUGUACCUAAUUCUCUGCCAUAAGCUCCCAGAUCUCACUCAUCUUGCUGUUCUAUUGUUACGUACAGAAGGAAAAAUUAUAGAAAUAAGGAAAGGAAUAUG